rnacentral:rRNA from 1 species
AUACGUAGGUGGCAAGCGUUGUCCGGAAUUAUUGGGCGUAAAGCGCAUGUAGGCGGUGCCUUAAGCCUGUCGUGAAACUGCGGGGCUUACCCCCGUAUGGCGAUGGAAACUGUGGCACUUGAGUGCAGGAGAGGAAAGGGGAACUCCCAGUGUAGCGGUGAAAUGCGUAGAUAUUGGGAAGAACACCGGUGGCGAAGGCGCCUUUCGGGACUGUGUCUGACUCUGAGAUGCGAAAGCCAGGGUAGCGAACGGGAUUAGAUACCCCGGUAGUCCUGGCCGUAAACGAUGGGUACUAGGUGUGGGAGGUAUCGACCCCUUCCGUGCCGGAGUUAACGCAAUAAGUACCCCGCCUGGGGAGUACGGCCGCAAGGCUUAAACUCAAAUGAAUUGACGGGG